rnacentral:rRNA from 1 species
AUUGAACGCUGGCGGCAGGCCUAACACAUGCAAGUCGAGCGGCAGCGGAAAGUAGCUUGCUACUUUGCCGGCGAGCGGCGGACGGGUGAGUAAUGUCUGGGGAUCUGCCUGAUGGAGGGGGAUAACUACUGGAAACGGUAGCUAAUACCGCAUAACGUCGCAAGACCAAAGAGGGGGACCUUCGGGCCUCUUGCCAUCAGAUGCAACCGGAUGGGAUUAGCUAGUAGGUGGGGUAACGGCUCACCUAGGCGACGAUCCCUAGCUGGUCUGAGAGGAUGACCAGCCACACUGGAACUGAGACACGGUCCAGACUCCUACGGGAGGCAGCAGUGGGGAAUAUUGCACAAUGGGCGCAAGCCUGAUGCAGCCAUGCCGCGUGUAUGAAGAAGGCCUUCGGGUUGUAAAGUACUUUCAGCGAGGAGGAAGGCGUUAAGGUUAAUAACCUUAGCGAUUGACGUUACUCGCAGAAGAAGCACCGGCUAACUCCGUGCCAGCAGCCGCAGUAA